rnacentral:rRNA from 1 species
ACGGGAGGCAGCAGUGGGGAAUAUUGGGCAAUGGGCGCAAGCCUGACCCAGCGACGCCGCGUGAGGGAAGAAGGUCUUCGGAUUGUAAACCUCUUUCAGCAGGGAAGACAAAAGGACGGUACCUGCAGAAGAAGUCACGGCUAACUACGUGCCAGCAGCCGCGGUAAUACGUAGGUGGCGAGCGUUAUCCGGAAUUACUGGGUGUAAAGGGUGUGUAGGCGGAGGAGCAAGUCAGGCGUGAAAUGCCAGGGCUCAACCCUGGAAUUGCGCUUGAAACUGUUCCCCUUGAGAGUGGGAGAGGUAAACGGAAUUCCUGGUGUAGUAGUGAAAUGCGUAGAUAUCAGGAGGAACACCGGUGGCGAAGGCGGUUUACUGGACCACAACUGACGCUGAGACACGAAAGCGUGGGGAGCAAACAGGAUUAGAUACCCUGGUA